CUAAGAACCCAGCUCCAAGCCCAGAGCAACCAGCUCAGCAUGGCGCUAACUCUCCUUCUGCCUCUGCUGGCCUCUCUCCAGAUGCUCCCCAGGCCGGUGUCCCCUCAAGACCCCGCCCCGGCUCCCCAGCUCACCGUGUCCCCGCAGCCGCCUGUCUAUGUAACUGGAGAAACUGUGACCCUGACGUGCUCAGCUGAGGUGUCCACCG